rnacentral:hammerhead_ribozyme from 1 species
GUACACCUGACGAGUCCCAAAUAGGACGAAACGCGCGUCCUGGAU